UCUCUGGUGGCUCAGAUGGUAAAGCAUCUGCCUACAAUGCAGGAGACCCAGGUUCAAUUCCUGGGUCGGGAA
rnacentral:tRNA from 1 species